CUGAAGGUGCUGGUUAACUCUUGCAUGAGGGAUUUGGACAGUAUAGGGAUGAGAGACUGAAGGUGCUGGUUAACUCUUGCAUGAGGGAUUUGGACAGUAUAGGGAUGAGAGACUGAAGGUGCUGGUUAACUCUUGCAUGAGGGAUUUGGACAGUAUAGGGAUGAGAGACUGAAGGUGCUGGUUAACUCUUGCAUGAGGGAUUUGGACAGUAUAGGGAUGAGAGACUGAAGGUGCUGGUUAACUCUUGCAUAAGGGAUUUGGACAGUAUAGGGAUGAAAGAGUGAAGGUGCUGGUUAACUCUUGCAUAAGGGAUUUGGACAGUAUAGGGAUGAAAGAGUGAAGAUGCUGGUUAACUCUUGCAUAAGGGAUUUGGACAGUAUAGGGAUGAAAGAGUGAAGAUGCUGGUUAACUCUUGCAUAAGGGAUUUGGACAGUAUAGGGAUGAAAGAGUGAAGAUGCUGGUUAACUCUUGCAUAAGGGAUUUGGACAGUAUAGGGAUGAAAGAGUGAAGAUGCUGGUUAACUCUUGCAUAAGGGAUUUGGACAGUAUAGGGAUGAAGGAGUGAAGAUGCUGGUUAACUCUUGCAUAAGGGAUUUGGACAGUAUAGGGAUGAAGGAGUGAAGAUGCUGGUUAACUCUUGCAUGAGGGAUUUGGACAGUAUAGGGAUGAAGGAGUGAAGAUGCUGGAUAACUCUUGCAUAAGGGAUUUGGACAGUAUAGGGAUGAAAGAGUGAAGAUGCUGGAUAACUCUUGCAUAAGGGAUUUGUAACCUCUACCUUUUCAUCCGUCCCUUCUUCUCCCUCUCAUCCGUCUCCUCCAUUCUUCUCCCUUUUUUUCCUCCUUAACCCUUCCACUCCAUUCCCUUCUCCCCUUUCCUUCUCUCUUUACUCAUUAACCUUUUCUUCCCAGCCUUUCUCCCCUCUCAUCCUUUC